ACCUAGGACUGAAUAGCCUAAAAGCAUCAGAUCCUGUCUGAUCCUGGAAGCUAAGCAGGUUAGGUUAUAGUUAGUACUCAGAUGAGAGAUCACCAAUGAAUAUCAAGUGUUGUAAACU
rnacentral:rRNA from 1 species